rnacentral:rRNA from 1 species
UAGAGUUUGAUCAUGGCUCAGGAUGAACGCUGGCUACAGGCUUAACACAUGCAAGUCGGGGGGCAGCAUGCGGGUUGCUUGCAACCUGUGAUGGCGACCGGCGGAUGGGUGAGUAACGCGUAUCCAACCUUCCCUUAACCGGGGCAUAACCUGCCGAAAGGCAGACUAAUUCCCCAUGCACUCCACCGACGGCAUCAGACGCGGAGUAAAGGGUAUCGGUUAUGGAUGGGGAUGCGUCCGAUUAGCUUGACGGCGGGGCAACGGCCCACCGUGGCAACGAUCGGUAGGGGUUCUGAGAGGAAGGUCCCCCACAUUGGAACUGAGACACGGUCCAAACUCCUACGGGAGGCAGCAGUGAGGAAUAUUGGUCAAUGGGCGAGAGCCUGAACCAGCCAAGUAGCGUGCAGGAUGACGGCCCUAUGGGUUGUAAACUGCUUUUAUACAGGGAUAAAGUCGGGGACGUGUUCCCCGUUUGCAGGUACUGUAUGAAUAAGGACCGGCUAAUUCCGUGCCAGCAGCCGCGGUAAUACGGAAGGUCCGGGCGUUAUCCGGAUUUAUUGGGUUUAAAGGGAGCGCAGGCGGAAGAUUAAGCGUGACGUGAAAUGUCCCGGCUCAACCGUGGAACUGCGUCGCGAACUGGUUUUCUUGAGUGAGUACGACGUCAGCGGAAUUCGUGGUGUAGCGGUGAAAUGCUUAGAUAUCACGAAGAACCCCGAUUGCGAAGGCAGCUGACGAGUCCUUUACUGACGCUAAAGCUCGAAAGUGCGGGUAUCGAACAGGAUUAGAUACCCUGGUAGUCCGCACGGUAAACGAUGGAUGCCCGCUGUUGGCGAUACAAUGUCAGCGGCCAAGAGAAAUCGUUAAGCAUCCCACCUGGGGAGUACGCCGGCAACGGUGAAACUCAAAGGAAUUGACGGGGGCCCGCACAAGCGGAGGAACAUGUGGUUUAAUUCGAUGAUACGCGAGGAACCUUACCCGGGCUUGAACUGCAGCGGAAGGAUACAGAGAUGUUGACGUCCUUCGGGACCGCUGUGGAGGUGCUGCAUGGUUGUCGUCAGCUCGUGCCGUGAGGUGUCGGCUUAAGUGCCAUAACGAGCGCAACCCCUUUCAUUAGUUGCCAUCACUUCGGGUGGGCACUCUGGUGAUACUGCCACCGUAAGGUGUGAGGAAGGUGGGGAUGACGUCAAAUCAGCACGGCCCUUACGUCCGGGGCUACACACGUGUUACAAUGGGUGAUACAGAUGGCAGGUUCACGGCAACGUGGAUCAAAUCUUGAAAGUCAUCCUCAGUUCGGAUUGGGGUCUGCAACCCGACCCCAUGAAGCUGGAUUCGCUAGUAAUCGCGCAUCAGCCAUGGCGCGGUGAAUACGUUCCCGGGCCUUGUACACACCGCCCGUCAAGCCAUGAAAGCCGGGGGCGCCUGAAGUCCGUGACCGCGAGGGUCGGCCUAGGGUGAAACCGGUGAUUGGGGCUAAGUCGUAACAAGGUAACCGUA